AUUGAACGCUGGCGGCAGGCCUAACACAUGCAAGUCGAGCGGAGCGGCGGACGGGUGAGUAAUGCCUAGGAAUCUGCCUGGUAGUGGGGGAUAACGUCCGGCAACGGGCGCUAAUACCGCAUACUCUCAGAUGAGCCUAGGUCGGAUUAGCUAGUUGGUGGGGGAAGGGCCUACCAAGGCGACGACCCGUAACUGGGCUGAGAGGAUGAUCAGUCACAUGGGAAGUGAGACACGGUCCAGACUCCUACGGGAGGCAGCAGGGGGGAAUAUUGGACAAUGGGCGAAAGACUGAUCCAGCCAGGCCGAGUGUGUGAAGAAGGUCUGCGGAGUGUAAAGCACUUUAAGUUGGGAGGCGUUACCAACAGAAUAAGCACCGGCUAACUACGUGCCAGCAGCCGCGGUAAUAC
rnacentral:rRNA from 1 species